rnacentral:rRNA from 1 species
GUAGGUGGCAAGCGUUGUCCGGAAUUAUUGGGCGUAAAGCGCGCGCAGGCGGUUCUUUAAGUCUGAUGUGAAAGCCCACGGCUCAACCGUGGAGGGUCAUUGGAAACUGGAGAACUUGAGUACAGAAGAGGAAAGCGGAAUUCCACGUGUAGCGGUGAAAUGCGUAGAGAUGUGGAGGAACACCAGUGGCGAAGGCGGCUUUCUGGUCUGUAACUGACGCUGAGGCGCGAAAGCGUGGGGAGCAAACAGGGAUUAGAUACCCUGGUAGUCCACGCCGUAAACGAUGAGUGCUAAGUGUUAGGGGGUAUCCGCCCCCUUAGUGCUGCAGCUAACGCAUUAAGCACUCCGCCUGGGGAGUACGGCCACAAGGCUG